ensembl:lncRNA
ACCAGGUCCAACACCACAUACACCACAAGGUCCAACUAGUGGUGUAUGUGGUGUUACACCUGGUGGUGUAUGUGGUGUCGGAUGUGGUGUUGGACGUGGUGGUGUAUGUGGUGUUGGAUGUGAUGGUGUAUGUGCUGUUUGAUCUGGUAGUGUAUGAGGUGUUGGAUGUGGUGGUGGAUGUGGUGUGUGACCUGGUGGUGUAUGGGAUGUUGGAUGUGGUGUUGUAUGGGGUGUAGGAUGUGGUGUUGGACAUGGUAGUAUAUGUUGUGUUGGACCUGGUGGUGUAUGUGGCAUUGGAUGUGGCGGUGUAUGAGUGUGUUGGAUGUGGUGUUGGACCUGGUGUUGGAUGUGGUGGUAUAUGCGUUGUUGGAUGUGGUCGUGGACCUGGUGGUGUAUGAGGUGUUGGAUGUGGUGGUGGA